rnacentral:tRNA from 1 species
GGGCACUUGGUCGAGUCUGGUUUAUGGCGCUCGUCUUGAAAACGAGUACUUUUAAACAAAAGUCGUCGGUUCGAAUCCGACAGUGCCCG